CGUGAUGACCUGUCACUAGGGGGUGUGGUCAUGUGUGAUGAUGUCAUCAGCGCCAGCAUAUGAAGGUGAAGCCGUUGCUAUGACGUGAUGACCCGUCACUAGGGGGUGUGGUCAUGUGUGAUGAUGUCAUCAGCGCCAGCAUAUGAAGGUGAAGCCGUUGCUAUGACGUGAUGACCCGUCACUAGGGGGUGUGGUCAUGUGUGAUGAUGUCAUCAGCGCCAGCAUAUGAAGGUGAAGCCGUUGCUAUGACGUGAUGACCCGUCACUAGGGGGUGUGGUCAUGUGUGAUGAUGUCAUCAGCGCCAGCAUAUGAAGGUGAAGCCGUUGCUAUGACGUGAUGACCCGUCACUAGGGGGUGUGGUCAUGUGUGAUGAUGUCAUCAGCGCCAGCAUAUGAAGGUGAAGCCGUUGCUAUGACGCGAUGCCCCGUCACUAGGGGGUGUGGUCAUGUGUGAUGA